AUGUCCUGCCAGCAGAGCCAACAGCAGUGCCAGCCUCCUCCCAAGUGUAUCCCCAAAUGCCCUCCCAAGUGUACUCCUAAGUUUCCUCCCAAGUGUCCCCCAAAAUGUCCCCCUAAGUGCCCAGCCCCAUGCCCACCUCCAGUCCGUUCCUGCUGCAGUGUUAGCUCCAGGGGCUGCUGUGUUUCAAGCUCUGGGGGCUGUUGCAGCUCUGUGGGUGGUGGCUGCUGCUUGAGCCACCACAAGCCCCACUGGCCCCUUUGACUCUGACCUCAGAGCUCUAACUGCUGUGGCAGUGGCAGCGGCCAGCUGUCUGGGGGCUCUGGCUGCUGCCACAGCUCUGGGGGCUCCUGC
rnacentral:lncRNA from 10 species